rnacentral:rRNA from 2 species
AUCUGGGCGGCGGAAUUCAGGAUGGCUGGCUCGCUCGCGCUCUCGCGGCGCGUCGGUCGUUUGAUAUUUCCGUCGCCAAUUUACCGCAGACGUCGCGACCUGUUUGCGGUCGGUCCCUGCUCGGAGGAGCCGCGUUCGAGUUCGUUGUGUACGCGUUUCGGCGCGUCGCACGGCGAAGACGCGGGUCUCUGGCUGGCCGUCGGACAGUAUGUAUAACGGUGUCCGGUGUCGUCGUUUUGUACGCGCGUGCACCGGUACCGGUCAGCGACGAAUUCUUCGGGCCUCUUUCCGACCCGUCUUGAAACACGGACCAAGGAGUCUAACAUGCGCGCGAGUCGCGGGGUGUCGAGCGUACUUCGGUGCGUUCGUUACGUUGCGAAACCCGUACAUGUCGAAGGCGUAAUGAAAGUGAAUAGGGAAGAUGGUGCUCCGAGUACACGUUCCGCGAUCGUCGGUAUCGCGGCCGGGCACCCGCAUUCCCGGGGCGUCUCAACGGCCCGUCGCUGAUGCGGACAGUUGUCUUUCGGGGCGGCUGUCGGUCGGCGACGAACCGA